rnacentral:misc_RNA from 1 species
GAAAUGUGAUAAGUAAUGUGAAUUGCAGAAUUCAGUGAAUCAUCGAAUCUUUGAACGCACAUUGUGCCCCCUGGUAUUCCGGGGGGCAUGCCUGUUCGAGCGUCAUUUCACCACUCAAGCCUCGCUUGGUAUUGGGCGACGCGGUCCGCCGCGCGCCUCAAAUCGACCGGCUGGGUCUUUCGUCCCCUCAGCGUUGUGGAAACUAUUCGCUAAAGGGUGCCGCGGGAGGCCACGCCGUAAAACAACCCCAUUUCUAAGGUUGACCUCGGAUCAGGUAGGGAUACCCGCUGAACUUAAGC